AAGGAAUAUUGGUCAAUGGGCGCAAGCCUGAACCAGCCAUGCCGCGUGCAGGAAGACGGCCCUAUGGGUUGUAAACUGCUUUUGUCAGGGAAUAAACCCCCGUACGUGUACGGGGCUGAAGGUACCUGAAGAAUAAGCAUCGGCUAACUCCGUGCCAGCAGCCGCGGUAAUACGGAGGAUGCAAGCGUUAUCCGGAUUCAUUGGGUUUAAAGGGUGCGCAGGCGGAUUGAUAAGUCAGGGGUGAAAUCCCACAGCUCAACUGUGGAACUGCCUUUGAUACUGUUAGUCUUGAGUAUAGUUGAAGUGGGCGGAAUGUGUCAUGUAGCGGUGAAAUGCUUAGAUAUGACACAGAACACCGAUCGCGAAGGCAGCUCGCUAAGCUAUAACUGACGCUCAUGCACGAAAGCGUGGGGAUCAAACA
rnacentral:rRNA from 1 species